GAUGAACGCUGGCGGCGUGCCUAAUACAUGCAAGUCGAGCGAACAGAUGAGGCUCUUGCUCCUCUGACGUUAGCGGCGGACGGGUGAGUAACACGUGGAUAACCUACCUAUAAGACUGGGAUAACUUCGGGAAACCGGAGCUAAUACCGGAUAAUAUAUUGAACCGCAUGGUUCAAUAGUGAAAGCCGGUUUUGCUGUCACUUAUAGAUGGAUCCGCGCCGCAUUAGCUAGUUGGUAAGGUAACGGCUUACCAAGGCAACGAUGCGUAGCCGACCUGAGAGGGUGAUCGGCCACACUGGAACUGAGACACGGUCCAGACUCCUACGGGAGGCAGCAGUGGGGAAUCUUCCGCAAUGGGCGAAAGCCUGACGGAGCAACGCCGCGUGAGUGAUGAAGGUCUUCGGAUCGUAAAACUCUGUUAUUAGGGAAGAACAAAUGUGUAAGUAACUAUGCACGUCUUGACGGUACCUAAUCAGAAAGCCACGGCUAACUACGUG
rnacentral:rRNA from 1 species